rnacentral:ncRNA from 1 species
GGGUUCGAAGGCACACUGUGUGCUUUCGGAGGAUAGACGGGUAGCAAAUGGUCGGGCCGCCAUUCG